rnacentral:lncRNA from 1 species
UGAGAAACUUGUCCAUCUUCUUCGGUUUCAACCAGACCCAGUUGAAAAAUCUCCAUCCGUAUAUCAUCACUAUCACUCCAACAACACAUACCACUGUGUUCAUCAUACUAAAACUUAGCUCCAUUUCUAAAGGAUAUUGAUCGAGGUAGGGUGCUUUUCUUUUCUCUAACUAUGAAGAUACACACUGUGUUUAUAGGUUCAAGUUCUAAUACUAAGUAGUAGCAGGUGAGUCAAAGAGAAAUUGUAAUUGAUUUAACUUUUGACUUUUGAGUCUUGUUGAUGAUGAAUAAAGGGACAGGAUUUUUCUACGGAUAAUGUUCAAUCAAGUCCCUUGUGUUUGAGUUAUUAUAGUUAUGAUCCAUGUGUUAUUGUUUUUCAGUAGUCUUCUCUACAUAAAGAAAGUGAAAUUAUUUUUACAAUUAACUCAAUAACAUCAUUCAUUUGUAGUUUGAUCAAAUCCACUAACAUGGAUUGUUAACUUAUGAAUAAAACAAUUUGAUAACAAACUCCAGUUUUCCAAAAUGACAUAACAAAGAUAUAUGUUUUAGAUUAAAAUUAUAAAUUAAUAAAAGGAAAUUUCUCAUAAAAGUAAAACUCAUAAUCAAUUUGUAUAUUUCAUCAUCUUCGUGAUCGAUUUUUCAAGUUGUGCUGCCACUUUCAUGUAUUUUAUGGGACAUAAAGACUCAAAUGAAAUGCAAGUGUUAAUUUUGGAGAGAAAUAGUACAGAAAACAAAUCUUUUAAGCCAGAUAUGUAAGUUAAUGCAAGUCGAGGUACAAAUGUUGUAUUUUAUUUUUAAGUGUAAACUAAAAAUGGAAAUUUGUCCCUACCCGUUGGGUUUGAGAUUGACGUCGUACUUGCUGCACAAGUCUUUUCCUUGCGGUCCACAACUAGUUUACACGUCUAUAUUUCCUUUUCUUAUUAGGGUUUCUUUGUUUUUUUGGAAACGCAUAUUGUGUGAAAAUGAUAUCUAAUCUUCUGUAUGAAGAUGUGUGCCAAACUUCUACAAACUAUAAUAAAAUUCUCUUUGUUUGUUACUACAAAAAUAAAUUGAAAUUAGACAUACAAUCAUUAAAAAAAAUUUAAAUAAAAAAUUUAUUUAGUUUUAAUCAUAUUCAAAUCGAAUAUAUAAAAAUUACUGUUAUAAUAUGAUUUUUUUAAAACAGUUAUAUAAAAUAAUUAAACAUAAUAAUUGCAAAAUAACAAUAAAUAAAAUUAUUAAUUUAACGAACAACAUCUCCAUUUUGUUAAAUUUUAGAUGAUGAUUAUUUUUUCGGUUAACUUCAACAAAUUUGAUAAUUUUAGUGAUUAACUAUAUAAUUUAUUUAACAAUGUAACAAAAAAAUAUUUAUAUGAAACAUACCAAACGGUUUUAAAUUAUAUAAAUUAAAUUUGAAUUGUUUAUAAUAUCCUUCAUAAUAUUAUUAAAAUAAUAAAAGUUUUGAAAAAAAUUUCAUGUUGAGUAAUAUACUUUAAAGUAAAGUGCAACACUACAAAAAAAAGUCCUUUUUAAUGACCAAGUUUUUAGUGACGACCUGGAAUCUGGUCACUAACUGCAUCCUUUGGUCACCAUGCACAAAGUCGUCACUGAAUUUUGGUAGUGAUACAAAUUCAGUGACCAAAUCUCAAUAGUUGUCACUACGAGUCACUAGUCCUCGUCAACGUUGACAUAUACAACCCUCAAUCGACGAAUACGCACCACUAUCUGGCAGUUCAACACCUCUCUCUCUGGUUCAUCGGCACGCUCCNNNNNNNNNNNNNNNNNNNNNNNNNNNNNNNNNNNNNNNNNNNNNNNNUUUCCAUCUAUCUACUCUUGCUCUGUUUUUUAAAGCGUGAAAGGUUAUUGUUGAUUGUUUUCUAUGGAUUGCUUGAUUAACUAAGUUAGCAAUUUCAAACUUAUGAAAUUACUUUUUUCGUUCUACUGUUAUUGCAAAUUAUGAUUCUUCUUCCAAUAUUCAAGUUAGUAGGCUUUUCUAUAAGAUACUUUUUUUGGUGUAAACGAUGCACGCAUGUUCGAUGAAAAUCCCCACACAAAAUUCACUAUCAUAAUAUUCGAUCUGUUUAAUUCAGGAGUUUUGGAAUAACAGUGUUAGUCCUAUCAUGGGUGAUUACACUGUAUACACUAAGGCAAAAUGGUAGAAAUGCAAGAAAUGCUUUCAGGAAAAAAUAUAUGAUUGGUUCCAUGAGCUAAGCCAACAUACUUUUGGUGAAAAACUUAUUGUUUUCCUUUUCCUUUGUGAUAAAAUGUAUGGUGCAUUCUUUUUUUACUCUUUUCCUUUAUUUUCCAAACAAUUCCUAUUUUCUUUCAAACUUAUCAAGUUAUAUUUUAUGAAACCUGAUGCAUUCUUUUUUCUUACAUGUGAUUCUUAACCUACAAAGAUGUUUGACAGAAUAGCUAAUCUAUCAAACAAUCAAAUAAUCAACUAUAGAUGUGAUCCGUUUGAGAAAUGGUUGGUGUUAAUUGGAAUUACCCCUAGCUCACCAGAGGUUUCUAUUUGACUAUUUCAUACUAUAACAUGUUAGCAUAUAGCACCACCUAUGGUAAAUUCAUGUGUUUUAAUAAUAGCCUCAUACCAUUUUGAUUUGAACUAACUUUUUCAGUUGAUCAGCAGCAAAGUCAAGCUCUUGAAGCACAUGUAACAUAUUUACUCUUUCAAAGUACAAAAGAUAAUUUCAAAUGGGUUUUUUUUUCUUUUUUUCCUUCAUCAAAGUACAUUGGUAAUAAUAACAUAUUUAUAUGCCUUCAACAUGUUGUUGGCAAUGAGAAUCCUUUGAUUCUAAUUUCUUUUGCAACAAAAGCUCGAAUCUUGGACAAGUUACUUCAAAGCUUCAUGUCAGUGAACCAUGUUUAUUCUCUUAACAUAUUGUUUUCAUUUUCAUUAAUUUGGGGUUUCUUAUUUAGAAAAGCUAAUGCUUUUUGUUUCUAUACAUGAAGGAAAACCCGCAUUCACUAAAAGCAAAAAGAUUUUUUCUUUCCUCACCACUUUCAAGAUGAUUUUCCAAUUGACAUGUAGGUAAUAUGUUACUCAUUUUGUGUUUUGAAAUAGGGAGUUGCAUACUUGCAUCAUCAACUAACAUAUUGAUUUUUUAUUUAGCACUUGUUAUUUUAGUGGGAAAACUCACUAGAGAACUACUAAGAAAGUUGCGAUCUUUUGGCCCACAAUAAUCUUUUUUACACUUAACAGAGGAUACUCCUUCCUAUCUAUCUUGGUUGACUUUUAACUGUCAUCUCAUCAUGAGACUACAUUUUAAGAUACCCAUCAUAUACAACUAUUACUGUUCUCGGGUUUAAAAUGAAGGGUAUGGUGGCCAACCCAAACACGUAAUUAUCAUUUAUCAAUCACUUUUGUAAUUGUAUUAAAUGAACAAUAUGAUAUUUGGUUACGUUUUAUCUUUCAGACAAUAAGCUAUAUGGCAGAGCGCAUGCUUGGCCAAGAUUCUUUUGAAAUUAUGUUUCAGGUAAUACUUUGAGUCUUGAAGCAACAACUCUAGUGGAAUUACUUUUUUACCCUCUUGUGCAUGCCAAGUGCUUAGAAAGUGGAGAAGCUAUUGCAAUUAAAAAGGUAGUUAAAGAUAAACGAUACAAUCGUCGCUUAAUGUUCCUUGAUGGAUUUGAUUAUGGAAGUAUUUGUUCUAAUUUAUGUCUUUUCGUAAUAUGUAUCCCCUUUCAUCAACUUUUCUGGUGAACAUUACAUUUGUUUCUUAGUUUAAUUUAGGAUCUUCUCAACAUAUCUCUGGUUCAUCCCCUGGCCCUUUCACAUCCAUCCAAGCAACUUACACAAGUAAGACUUGAAAAUACUAGUUUUCUUGAAGUUUUUGAAAUUGAAAUAUACUCAUUUCAAUAUGGCCUCAAAAUGUGUCUUAUUUUUAAGAUAAUGGAUUUUGGUGAAUGUGGCUAUGUUCGUUGUUCCCAUUGUAAACAUUCUUUCCAUUCAUGAAAUUUGCUGACCGUGGAAGAUGUUUUCAUCUGUAACUUUUGUGGUGAGUUUAUAUCUCUUGAUUUCUGUACAUAAUGAUAUGCAUAAAUGUAUAAAUAUAUCUUAUAAUAGUAAUACAAAUAAUGCAAAUAUGCAUUACAUGUUGCUCUUUACAUGGUUCGCAGAUGAAACUCCUCAUGAUUAUCAAUGCAAUCUUGGUCCAGAUGGCAGGCGAAGAGAUGCUGAUGAAAUACCCGAGUUUUGUAGAAGACCAAUUAAAUUUGUUACCAUAAGGGAAUUUCUUGUUACCAUUAAUUUGUAACCCACUGAAGAUAUUAAGUUAAAAAUAAACAAAAAUUAUAUUAUUGUAUUAUUAUUUUUAUAUUCAAUGGCAGUUGUAUUCUUCUUCCUAAUUUACAAAUCAAUUUGUAAAUGGGUUAAAUACAAGAAAUAGCAACAAAAAUCAAUGACCAAGGUUUUUUGGUAACUAAUUGGAUAAAUUAGUGACAACUUUUUAUGGUCACUAAUUGAAUAAACUAGUGACGACUUUCUAAGGUCACUAAUUGGAUUAGACAGUGACGACUUUUUAUGGUCUAUAAGUAGAUAAAUCAGUGACGACUUUAAUUGUUUAGUGACAACAUUUAGUAACGAAAGGGGUCGUCAUAAAUUCAGUGACCAUUAUGUUUUAGUCACUAUUUAGUGACUACUUUUACAUUUUCGUCACUAAGAUAUUUUUGUGACGGACCUAUAGUGACGACCAAAAUUUUGGUCACUAAAUCGCUUGGUGACGAGUCCUUCUAUUGUUAGUGACCAUUUUGUUUUCGUUACUAAUUGGCAUUUUUCUUGUAGUGGUGAGAACCGGUUUGAAAAGGAAGGUCGAGUGAUGCGCCGCGCAACACACACAUCAACUUUUAAGUCGGAAGUCUUUUAGAAAACAAACAAUUGCGAAAUGUCAAGUGUUGUGCGUGUUUUGCUUGGCGGACCCCGAAAUAGNGCUAGCAUGCUGUUCUAUUAUAUCAUAAUAUCAAAUAAAUGUAUGGUAUUUUGGGGUCUACUUACUGGCUCCGACUGAUCGUACACUUUGCAUCCUCCUUUACUUAUUUUGAAAACAAUUUAAAAUUAUUUCGAAAAUCUUUUUCCUUAGUUUGAGACUAGAUUCACACGAAUGUUCCUCCAAUUCACUCAAACCAAGGCUCUGAUACCAACUUGUAACACCCAAAAAUUUCAAGACAAAUUUGAACUUUUCAAAACAUUUAAAACCCAUAGUUAUUACAGACUUGUUUUCAAAAUAGUCUAUAUCAGAGUUUUUCCCAGAAACAUAAAUUAAACAUGAGGAGCUGUACGAUCAUGCUUUCUCCUUGCCGCGAUCCCCCGAUGUACCUGAAACAAUAAACUAAAACUGUAAGCCCGAAAGCUUAGUGAGUUCCCCCAAAAUAUCGAUACACUGCACAUAACACAUAUACAAAUAACAGCAUAUACUGGGUCCACAACUUUACAGAUUGGGUUACCCCUUGGGCCCAUAAUUUGAGUAUGGGUUUCCUUACGGGCCCACAACUCACAUCUGGAUUGCCACCGAGCGCACAGUAUGAGUCUCCAUCAGCUCGUAUCUGGAAUGCUGUCGGGUUUGCUGAUUACUGCACAAAGCAGUAUCUCCUCAACCCAUCUCACAUAAUAUGUCGAUAUAUACCAUAACUAAUGCACAUAUAGAUAAUCAUACAGAAUCACAGAUAGUUCUAUAGAUCUACCAAACUAGCAUACCACUGUCAUACAUUACUAGCUCAAACUCAACAUAUCAAUAACUACUAGGAUAUAAAAUCCAAUGGGCCGGCCUUGGUGCCUUAGACCCCUUAAUACAGUGAGGAUAACUCACCUCGCAAGUAGCUCAGAAUAUAGUGUCAAACUCCUCCAAAUGUAACUCCAACUCCAACACCUAUAUUCACCAAUGUCCUUUGCUAUAAUGUCCAAUUUACCAAAAAUACCCUCAGAAGUCAACUGGUCAAAGUCAAAGUCAACUGCCAAGGUCAACAGUCCAUGUUGACCUCAACUCGUCGAGUAUCCUCUGCUACUCGCCGAGUUCCUUGCAUAACUUGCCAACUCGCCGAGUCACUCGUUUGACACGCCGAGCACAAGGCAAUCUUCAUCGGACUCGCCAAGUCAUUCUACUGACUCGCCAGGUCUAUUAUAAUCUUCAUCUGAGUCGACCAUGCCACUCGCCGAGUCCCUUCGGUCCUUCAUCCACACAGAUGCUUUUUAAGCCAUGCUAAGGAUCCAUACUACAAAUUCAAGCUCCUAGGACAUGUUUAUCACGUAAAGUUGCAAGAUUUACGUGCAUGCAAUAUGCUAAUGACUUAAAUCAAGAUAAAGAAGAGGUUAUAGGAAAAGAGCUUCACCAACAUGCUAAAGACUGAGACUUUAUGAUGAUAAGAGCCAAGAUGAGCCUAGAUCUGAAGUGGCAACUUCAGAUCGUGGUUCAUCACACGAAAUGCAAUACCAAAAGCCCUAAAAUGGACCCAAAAGUCAAAUAUAAAAGGGAUCUAGUUAGAAUGAAUAUGGAAUAAUCAUUUUAGUUAUUUUAAGAAAAUGAUUUACCUAUAUUAUUAAAUUAAAAAAAAUAGAAUAAUAACAUUUAAUUAAAAGAAUGGUAAUAUAGUACAUUUGCAUUGCCUUAAAUAUGGAAAGACAAAUUUAAUAAAAAAAAAUUCGGAUUUUUAGGGAUAUUUGAUUAUCUUAAUUUUGAAUUCUAAUUUGUUUUAAUUAAUUCAGAUUAAAUAAUUCUAACUUAAUUUUUAAGCAUAUGCGGUUUUAUUCUGUCAGGACGACUUUCUUUUAUAAUGAUUUUGUAUGAAAAUGCAAGUCAUAAACUAAUAAAGAGUCUUACUUCUCGAAAAAUAACAAAAUUUUGGAUACAUGCAUGUUAAUUUUUUCUAUCACACUCUAAAAAAAUAAAAAACUUUAUAUUCUAUUCUAUGAUAAUGAAACACUUACCACUAAAAAACAAACACAAUUUGUUGAUUAUUCUAUAAGAAUAUACUAUUAAACAUAUCCUUAUCAUUCUAUUGUAGAUUAUUCUGCGAGAAUAUAAUGAUGAAUAGUGCUUUCUUUGGUGACCAUUGUUCAUCUUCAUUACAUAUACCAUCAUCUAACCUUCAUGUCAUUGAUCACCAUCUUCACUUCACGCAUUCUAUGAGAAUAACUUUCUUUAAGCCUUUAUAUAACAAAUAAUAAAACAAACUUUAGUAAUUCUAAUAAAAUGCAUAUCGUAUGGUCAGAUAUAAUACUUUUUACAAUAAUAUAAGAAUGUCUACAAAUUAUUCUAAUAGAAGGAUACCUUAGCUACAAAAUAUUCUUAAAGAAUAUAAAACGUGUUGAUCAAAUGCAGCACACAUAGAGAAAAAAAGGAGUUGAUGGUACCCGAAUCAAGAAACCUAAAAUUUUAGAGUUGAAUUGAUCAGUAAAACCCAUGUGCUCUUAACUUGUAUUCUCAAACUCUUUGGUGAUCUCAUUUGCUCUUAACUCAACAACCUUUUAGCCAACUUCAGGCUUGUUUAGUAUGUGGUAUAAAUUGCGUAUACACAACUAUAGAAUAUGUGUUCGGUUCCUUUUAAGGCUCUCCUUCAGAAAUCACAUCCGACAAUCACAAUUACAAAGAAAUCCAAAAAUUACUAAAUACUCAAAAUAUCUAUUCAAUUUUCUUUUAUUUUUUCUAUCCUUCCAAUCUACAAAAAAAAGAAACUUACAAGCGAGUUGUUUCGGUUUAUGAGAAAAAAAACCCAUAAGUAAUAGAAAGCAUACAUUGAUAAGUAGAAAACACAGAGAGCAAUGGGUAUGUGAACAAUACUUAAAGAACAAGCUAAGAAUAGCUGCCAAGUUAUCUUAGCCCCUAUUUACAUAUCAAUAUUAUAAAAAAAGAAGAUGAGAAAUGAACAAUUACCAUUGCAAACAUUAUAUUUGAUAGUGUUUACUUCUAACUGUCAACCACCACCCAUAAACCUUUCAUCCCCAACAUCACCAUAUGCAUCUUCCCACUCCCCUCUGUCGGUGGAAAGAAAUAACUAAAGUUUCAAGAAUAAAAAGUAUCCAAAAAACACUUUUAAAAAGUACCCCAAUUUAAUCUACGAAUCAAUUAUAAGCCCUAGCUACAAAUUUCCUCCACACUUAACUCGUGAAUCCUAUGAAGUAUGGAAAAAAAAGAACUAAAGAAGAAGAUGAAGAUGAUCAAUAAAGUGAUUAUUAGAAUUUGAGAGGUAGAGAUGGAACUUGUAAGAAAAGAAGGAAGCGCACAGUAGAUCGACAUUGAAAUUUUGACCACACGACGAGCUAAUGGAACUCAAGUCGUGAUAAGAAAUCGAACAUGGAUGGAGAAGAUAGCGGUGGAGAGAAACAGCUAGCGUAAUCGGAAGAAAUAUACCAAAAACUAACAUAUAGAUUGAUAAGGAACUGUCGCUACUUUCAGUGGAAAAAAAAACCCUAAUUUCAUAUAAGGGAAAACGAAUGUGAGAGAGAGAGAGAGAGAGAGAUAAUGUUAGAGGCGGUGGGAUAAGGAAAUGUUAGAAAAAAAAAAACCAGUUUGUGCUUUAUUUUAGAUGAUAGUGUAGAAAAUCGAUUAUGCCAGGAGCAUAGUAGCAGGCAAUGAGUGUAUAUUAGAAAUUUCAUGUAGAAAAUGGAAUCGAGAACUUACAUGCGAAAAAUCGAUGAUCGAUGAGAGAAUAGGUUUGGAUGAAUCGAUGAAGUAGAUAGUCAAAUGGAGAUGGUGGUGUAGGUUACUGUGUUGAAGAUGUUUGCCUAAAUAGGGGAUUAAAAAUUAGUGAUAAUGUUUAGUUUCCUAAUUUAUUAGGAUUUAGGUUAUUAAAAUAAUUAAUGUGAUUUAGCAGUGUACUAUAAUACCCUUGUCUAUGUAUUUGAAAUGAAUGGUUCAUAUUAAUCCCUACAUCUACACAAUACUUAGUUAUAAUACNNNNNNNNNNNNNNNNNNNNNNNNNNNNNNNNNNNNNNNNNNNNNNNNNNNNNNNNNNNNNNNNNNNNNNNNNNNNNNNNNNNNNNNNNNNNNNNNNNNNNNNNNNNNNNGCUUCGAUUUAAAAUUCGGGGCCGUGACCCGAAGAUCAAGUAUCAUAAGUCUUCGAGCUUUGGGGAAAGAGAGGUUUAGGCCCAUUUGGAUGUGGAUAAUGUAGAUUAUGUGAUCCAAGAGUUCAGUUUAUGCUUUGGAGCCAAGGGUAUAUUGGUAAAAAGGCAAUGGUCCGGGUCUUUCAUGAAUUUUUUAUUUAAUUUCGGAAAGUUUUAACGCUAAGGAGAGUUGGUAGGAUUGUAGAGCUUCUCAUUACCUUUCUGUGGAUAUAAGGAUCAUCGAAAUCGGAGUUAGAACCAAGAACUUAUGGCCUUCGGAAGUGAGGAGGAUGUUGGGUUUGUCCGGUACGCUAGGCAUACAUAGGUGUACUCUAGACGUAUUGGUCUAGGUGAUCGUGAAUGGACCAUGGAGUACGAUAGGCGUACCUGGAGUACGAUGGGUGUACCUGGAGUACGCUGUACAUACUCCAGUCAGGUGCAAACCCUAAUUGAGGGGCUUGGACCCUAUUUAAAGGCCUUGAAUCAUUCUCAAAACCUCUUAUCUUCAGCCUCCAUCCUAUUUAACCCUAAAUUUAAAUCCCUAGCCUCUCUUGUGUGAAUUUCAAGCCUUGGUGUGUUCUUUUGGUGUGAUUUGGAAAAAAAUAGAUAUUGUUAGAAUCAUUGCUUGGCAUAGAGCUUGUGGAUCCAAGCUCUAAUCAUCUUCAACAACUUCCAAGAGGUAUAAAGCUUCUACGUUGAUGACUCUAUGUGUUAGAUCUAGUCUAGGGCUUGUUUUGGGUUUAUUUUGGUCCUUAGAGUCAUCCUUGUGAGUAUGAGCUACUCAAGGAGCUUAGAAUCCUAGAUCUAGCAUUUUUGAGAUUUAUGGUGCACAAAAAUGUCAUCUUGUUGGGUUUUGUUGAACCAUGCUUAAGUUGGUGUUCAUAUUAUGCCUUAGAUGGAUAAAAAUGGGUUUUGGGUCCCAUUAAGACAUGCAAAGGAGUAAAGUUGGCAAAUUUAUGGAUUAAGACCUUAUUUAGAGGUUAGACCUCAAUUUGGCCAUUUUGGUAUUAAGCAUUAAGUGUUUAAUGAAUGUUUUUGUCACUUGGUGAGUACGUUGGGCGUACAAAUGUGUACGCUCAUCAUAAUGCAUGGAGUCCCCAUUCUCAGGCUAAGAAGAGUUGUACCUUAUACAACAGUAGGCGGUACGCAGGACGUACCAAUCUGGUAUGUGGGGCAUAUGCCAGAAACCCUCUUUUGCAUGGUAUGUCGGGCUAGGCCCAUUUGUAUGAUGGGCUAGGCCUAUGGACCAGGAAGGGUUAGACCUAAUGUAUGUUAUGUAGGAUUCUAGUUGUCUCUGUGACUCUCGCAUUGUAUUUCGGGCUUGGCCCAUUACUGUGGGUUGGGCCCAAUGUGAGGGCUAGGCCCAACGAUAUGUAUGGUAUGUGGUAUUUUGGGGAACUCACUAAGCUUUGUGCUUACAGUUUUAUGGUUAUAGUUUCAGGUACUUCCGGUUCAAAAGGGAAGGGCCCGACUUGAUCACAAUGCAUCCACUCAUAUUUCCGCAUUUUGUGAUUUUGGAAUUGUAUUAUGAUAACUAUUUUUACUUUGACAUGCUUUUGAAUGAUUGAAAAGGAUAAAUGGUAUUUAUGAUUGAAUUAAAAAUGAAAAUUUUACCUUAUAAUUUUGGGCCAUAUGUUGGGCUUUGAGCCAUAGUUGGACUUUUGGGCCUUUGGAUUGGACCUUGGGCUUGAAUAAAGCCAAGUUAUAGGUAGAGUAGCCUUUUACCCCCAAGCAUGGACUCGUGGUUAUGUAGUGGAACCCAAUUAUUAACUGGGUGUUAUUUUGGUGUUGACAGUUCGGGAAUCUGUCAUCCAACAGUUGGGGUUGAGUCUGCGGGAUUUGAACAAAGUAGGAUUGUGUCUACGGGACUUCAGCAGUGUGAGGUGAGUUCCCUUCCAGUAACGGUGGGUCUACGGCCACAAUGUUGGCCCACCAGUAGGAGUUGUAUGUUAGAUGAUUGCCUUUGUGAUAUUCAUCUAGGUUUGCUACUACCUGAUAUGUUUAUGUGCUAGUAUGAUAUGUUAUAUGUGAUAGUGGUAGUAAGGGGAGAAAAGUCCCCAAGUUCGGUCGUUAGCACCGAAGGGUAGGUUGGGCACCCCAGAAUUGUCUGACAGCAUGUUUAUGCUAUGUUAUUGUGUGCUAGUAGUAGGAGGUGAAAUAGUCCUCGUAUGGACCGACGGGUAAGUCAAGCACCCCAUAAUGGCUUGACCUGGGUAAGUCAAGCACCCCAGAAUGGCUUGACCUAGGUAGUCAGGCACCCCAGAAUUGCCUGACAAUAUGUUAUUGUAUGGUAUGUGGUAUGAUGGGGGAACUCACUAAGCUUCAUGCUUACGGUUUACAGUUAGUUUAUAUAUAUAUAUAUAUAAACUAACUUGGGUGGCUUAUUAUUCAGUAUGAAAGUCCGUUAGAGGCUUCUCUUACCGUGUAGUGCAAACCUACCAUUGGUGCUGAUAUUCUUGGUAAGCUACAACAUUGACCGACAUGUAAUGCUCUUUUUCGGCGUUCAUUCUUUGGUCGGUAGCUAAUAUAUAUUUCUUGUGGGCAUGGAUGGGGCCCUUUGUUUAGCAUUAUAUGUUUUUCAACGUGUAACGACCCAAAAAUCACGACUAAAAAAUUCAUUUUUAAAACGUUACUUAAACCACAAUUGUCAAUCCAUAACAUAAAUCUUAACAUAAAAUCAAAGUGUUAAUUCAAAACAUGUUCUUAUUAUCAGAGUAAAACAUCCCAGGCUGACUAACUAUGGUGUGUGCCAUGCGAUCAUCCCAAGCUCUCCCCUCCGCUACCGGAAGUACCUGAAACCAAAACUAAAAACUGUAAGCACGAAGCUUAGUGAGUUCCCCAACCUACCACAUACCAUACACAUAAUUGCAUAUUGCCAAUACUGGGCCUCGCCCACUACCUCGGGCCUCGCCCGCUACAACAGGCCCCACCUGCUCUAGGCCCCGCCUGGCUUCGAGCCCCGCUCGCUGUACAAAUUUGUUUCUCUUAGGCCCUGCAUGUCUCUAGGCCCCGCCCGCUAAACAUAUACAAACAUAUAACAUAUCGCAUAACACAUAAACCAUAACUACUCUACUGCAUUCCUGUACUAAGGCCUCGCCUAUCUUAGGCCCCACCCCUGUCCUACUAUUGAUGAGUCAUGGAACCCCGUCCACACUCCUGUUGAUAGUGAGAUACGAGCCCAUCCUACACUCACUCGUUUCCUAACUUGGGCCUCGCCCCUACUCGGCUACUGAUGAGAUAUGGAACCCCAUCCAUACUAUGCUAAUAGUGAGAUACGGGACCUCGCCCACACUCACCCCCUACCAGACACAUAUAAGUAUCACACAGACAACAAGUAUACUCUAUCAUGCAAACCAUUCCUUGGGCACCCGCCCGACAUUGGACCUUGUUCCUAAAUAUCAUACUAGCAAACAGUUCCUAGGGCUAACCCCCAGGUCUUCCUACUCAUAACUACAUGGGCCGACAUUGUGGCCGUAGACCCAUUCACACAAACGAAAACUCACCUGCACUGCUGAACUCCGCUGAUAACCCUCUGGCUGCUACCCGACAACUCUCCGAACUGCUGCUCCUCUAACUCCCAAGCUAACAAUACCAAUACAACACUUAGCCUAACUGUCCUCCCGAAGUCAACUAGGUCAACUCUGGUCAAGGUCCUUCUCAAGGUCAGAUUCAACUUCCAGUUGACUCGACUCGCCGAGUUGUUCUACCAACUCGUCGAGUCCAUGCUUCGCAAAUCCGAAAACAACCUUGACUCUACUCGUCGAGUCUAGCAACAACUCAACGGGUUCUCCUUCAACUAAACAUUCGGGACCAUCUUCAACCGACUCGCUGAGUUGUAGAACAACUCGUCGAGUCCAUCUUCAUAAGCUAAGGAGAUUUUCUUGGACUCGCCGAUUUCCUCCUUGAACUCGUCGAGUACCAUGAUCUUCAUGUCCAUUAUGGACACAGAUUGGCUGAGUCCUUCUCUAACCCCACUCACUGAUCCGACUCAUAAACAGAAGGGUUUGGGUUUACAGCCCGACUCGUUAAGUCAACUAACUGAUUCGCCAAGUCCAUCUUGUGACAUCUCUAUUUUGUCGAUUACAGUCCAUCCCAACACCUCCAACUCAUAGAUCUUGACUCCUUAUGCUAGCAUUGCACGUAAAGUUGCUAACUUUACGUGCAUGCAAGGUGUUAUGAGGCUAAAAUACUUAAUCCAAGCUUCUAAGAAAACCUAGGUCAUGAAAUGGGACCUUAGCUGGAUAAAGCCAACAACUUUGAGCUUCUAAAGCUCAAGAGUGUCCAGAUCUGUUGUCCAAACCAUGCUCAAGGGUUUAAUACUCAGAUUGACCUUGGAAAUGAUCCAAAUGUGACCAAAAGCAAGCUAGAAAGGGGAUCUAUCAAUUGAAAGCUUAAGGUCUAGACAUUUUACCUUCUAACAGUUUCCAAAUCGAUAUGAAGGAUGGAUCUACACUUCCUUCUUUUCUCCUUUCUUCCAAGCCAUCAAAAUCCACUCCAAUGGACCUUAAUCUUCACCAAAAGCUCCAAAAAUGAAAUUGGGUGGCUAGGGUUUUGGGGUUCUGGAUAAGAGAUGCUGUAAUGAACCCUAGGGAAGGGAAUAAGAUGCUUAAAUAGGGUAUCAAGUCCCGGAAUUAGGGCUUUCCCAUCCCAGACUAGACUCGCCGAGUUGGUCACUUAACCUGCGACACGGAGUCCGCUUCGACUCGCCGAGUCAUUCCUUGGACUCGACGAGUUGACCCCCUUUUGACUUAGGGUUUUCCUUUCCUUUCUUGGCAUUUCUGAUUCUGGGUGUUACACAACGAAGUUGUUAAAACCUACAAAAUGAAAUGGAGGAAAUGUCUUUUGAGAGUAAAGAGUACGAAUUCACUUUUAGGAGGAAAAAAGAUUGUUUUUACAGGGUUCCUACUUUGUAAUUAUUUCCUAGCUUCAUAGUCCGGUUAUGAAUUCCAGUCAGGGUGUUUCCUUUGGUUAAAGCAAGCAGCCCGGUCAGGUUGGAACAUAUAAAGAGCAUAUUUGAUAAAUCCCCAUGAGUAAUCGAACGAGGAUGCGAUAUGAGUAUGUGUGUGUGUUGUACACUUGUACUUGUUGGAGAAGAGAUUUAGUUGUUGGUUGCCUCGUUAGCAUGUGAAAGAUGAGUUCUUAGGCCUCGUCCAACUUUGAGGACUUGAACAUGUAUCAUCUUGUUUACCGAUUAUAGGUACUUUUUGAAUGUCAUUUAUAACUAUUUUGGGUUAAAUAAUGAUUUUAUUUUUAUGACACAAUUACCGUACCCAUAGGACAUGAUAACCGCGAAAAAGAAUGAAAAGUGAAAUGUGAAGGAGAAAUGCUAAACGUCAAGCCAAGGCGAUAUAGAAUUAAUGUAUUGUCGGCUUCAAUACUCAAGAAUAAGAUGACAAUUAGGGUUGCACUUUAAAUAUAUAAAUAUCAUUAUAAUUUAUGAAUUAGUAAUUAAAUUAUUGAUAUAUAUUAAAUUAAAUGUAUAUUAAACCCAACCCAACCCAACUCAUUUAAGAACAUGGGUUAGACGAGUUGACUAAUUUAACUUAAACGGUUGAAAAGUCUCAACCUAACUCAUUAAUUUUGGGUUGGGUUCGGAUCGGGUCGCUUCUUGCCUACCAUACUUCCACUUAUUUUAUUGUAAGUCAUAGAAAAGUCUUUGUAUAUAAAAAAAUUGUACUUUCCAAAAAUAAAAUCUUGAUGGCAAUCUGAUAAGUUUUUACACAACCUCCAAAUCAUGCCUUAAUUAUUGUAUAUUGAGAAUAACAUAGAAAACAUAUAAUAAUAUAUUUAUUUGUGUUUUGCUCCAACAACCACUAAAGUUUGCGUAGAAUCAAUUGAGCACCAUACUGAGGUUGUAGAGUGAGGAUCAUUUGUGGAGCAUGUGCGUACAAUGGAGAAAUCUCAAAGGAAAAACCUCUUAAAAUCAUAACAAGUGCUAAUUUUGCUUCGAGCAUUGCAAAGUUUUGGCCGAUACAUAUACGUGGACCCCCUCCGAAAGGGAAGUAUGAUGCUUGUUCCUUAGUUGCGUUUGACACACCUUCUGCAAAUCUCUCAGGCUUGAACUCUUUCACGUCAUCACCCCACAUUUCAUUGUCAUAAUGUAAAAGCAUCAUAUGUAAUUGGAGGAAUGAACCUGCUGGUAAGGUUAUGUUUCCUAAUGUAGUUUCUUUAUGAAUCAUCCGUCCCAUUCCUAUAACAGCCGGGUAUAACCUAAGUACCUCGUGCAAGAUCAUAUUAAUCUACAAAAUAAAUAAUUAUUACUAAAAAACUCUUGUCAAGUACAAUAAUAAAAAAUGUGAGGAGGAAUGUGAUCGUGUUUUUGUUUAUUUGUAGCGAGUGGGCAUCAUAUUCUUGCAUUAAAAAAUAUAUUGAUUGGCCUGAGCACAUUUUUUAAACUCGAGAUUUAGUUUGGUAUAAAAUACAUCACCUGAUUCAUUAUGCGUUUAUCUACUUAAUUAACGGUUUGGUAAAUCCAAUCACUAGAAGAAGAAGAAAAACUUACAACUUUUACACGACUUAAUCCGUCAAUAUCUGGUUUUCUGUCUCCAAACACUUUUAAAACUUCAUCUCUAGCACGAUCUUGCCAAUUUGUGUGUUGGCCUAACAAAAUCAUUGUCCAAACAAGCAAAUUUGCAGUAGUUUCUUGCCCGGCAAAAUAGAAAAGUUUGCAUUCUUGAAUGACUUCUUCGGUAGUAAGUCCGAAAUUGGUGUUCCCUUGUUGUUUGAUUUCUUUGUAAUUGGAAUCCAAUAAUAUUCCCAAUAAAUCGUCGCUACUAUUUUCCCCGGCUUUCAUUGUUGUCACUCGUUUAUUAAUAAUUUUGUUUACUGUAGCCCUCACAUCUCGGUCAAUCUCCUUCGUCCUUCUAUUACUCUUUGUAGGCAAAAACCUACAAAAUCAUAAUUGCAUAAGCAAACAGUUUUGCAUGAUUUCUUUUUGGAAUGAUUAAGAGGCUAAAAACCAAAAUUUAUUAUUGGAAAGUAUGCUCACCGGGAACCUGGAAUAUACAACGAUUGUAAAGCCUUCAUAACUAACUCUGUUUGUUCUUUUUGAAGUUCAAAUAUUUUUCUUCCUUCCUCAUAGCUGCUACCAAAUGCUGUACGUGAAAUUACAUCACUAGUAAAUGUUUGGAGAUGAGGGUACACAUCCACUUCACACGAUCUUUCUUUUGUUAAUACUUCCCAUUUGUUGAUCAUAUCACUGCAACUAAUGUAAAAAGCUGGCACCAUAUGCUAUAAAAAGGAGAAUUAAUGGAAUCAGGGUUUAUUAAUUUUAAUUACGUACUGAAACUUUUGCUCUGGUAAUCUAUAAAGAAGAUGAACCUUAAGCUUUUCGACAUGGAAUACAGGAUUGAUAAUCUUUCUAUGUUUUGCCCAUUGAUCAGCUUCAACAUCUGCUAGCCCUCUUGCUACCAACUUUGCCAACGGAUUUCCUCCAUUUAACUUUUGAAAUCGAGAAUAAUUUGCCAAAAUCUGUCGUAUUAGUGCAGGUUCUGUAAUGUGCAUCAUAGGUCGUGGGCCCAUCCAUGUAUAGAAAUUCUUUCCUUUACCUGAAUACAAAUAUCCAUCGGAUACAUAAAAAUUUAAAUGCAGAGGCACCACAUAAAAAUCUAUAGUUAUGCUCAUUGUACUUUGGUCUUUGAAAUAGCUUCAUGUAUGUGACACAUAGAUGUGAUCAGCAUAUAAAAUUUGGAAAGACAUGCUAACAGAUUUCACUGGUCAAGAUUUACUAUUCUGAAAACUUAUUAUAAAAUCUGAACGGUUUUAAAACUUCUAUAAACAUGAAUGGAUUUUUUGACCAAAAAAAAAUAAUAAUUUUCAGUUAAAAACUUUUCUAGAAAAUUUUCUUUGAAAAACUCAAAAGAUAACAUCUACUAUCAACGCUCAUAUGUAUACAUUACAUACCAUAAGUCUUAGCAGAGUUAUAAAGAUAUGGCAUGACACGUGGGACGAUAUCAUCGGUGAGAUUUAUGGGUUUCAAUUUGGCAUCAGCGGUCAUCUGCACCAUCUCUUUCAUGUCUCCAUAUAGAAAUUUGUAGGGAUUUCCGUUUAAGCCUUGUUCUCUGAGAAACUUGUCCAUCUUCUUCGGUUUCAACCAGACCCAGUUGAAAAAUCUCCAUCCGUAUAUCAUCACUAUCACUCCAACAACACAUACCACUGUGUUCAUCAUACUAAAACUUAGCUCCAUUUCUAAAGGAAGUAGGGUGCUUUUCUUUUCUCUAACUCUGAAGGUGCACACUCUAUUUAUAGGUUCAAGAACUGAUAAGUGAUAACAAGUAAGUCAAAGAGAAAUUGUACUUGAUUUUGACUUUUGGGUUGUUGGUGACGAACGAAGGGAUAUCAUUUAUCGAUAGAUAAUGUUCAAUCAUGUCCCUUGUGUUUUAGUUAUUAUGUUUAUGGUCCAUAUGUUAUUGUUUUUCAAUAGUCUCCCGUAUAAUAUGUAAUUGAAAAUGUUAUCUAUUAUUGACUUACAUUUUUACAAUUAAAUCAAUUACAUCACUCAUUUUUAGCUUGAUCAAUUGGUAUAUUUCAUUAUCUUCUCAUGGUUUUUUUAGUUCCGCUGUCAAUUUCUUACUGGACAUAAGGACCCAAAUGAAAUGCAUGUAGUAAUUUUGGAGAGAACGUACAAAAAACAAAUCUUUAAGCCAGAUAUGCAAGUUAAUGAUUACGUCCUACUUGCGGCACAAGAUAGACUUGCUGAGCAAGUCUUUUCCUUGCCAUAUUCAUACAAGUUGAGAGCUCCUUUUUAAGUUUAGUUUUGAGAUAUUAUUAAACUAAUCAAAAUUUAAAAAAUAUAUAAUAAGUAUAAUUUAUUUUUGGCAAAUUAAAUAAUCUAAUCUAUAUAAAUAAGUUUUUUUUAAAGAAAUAGCAAUUGUUUUAGUUUUUUUUUUUUUUUAAAUAAUCACUUUUUCUUAAUGAUUCAUUCCGGACAUUGGUUCACAUUUCAAAAUAUUUUUCAAUUUCUUUUUAAAGAAUCUUUCAUUCCGAAAUGUUCUAUCUCGGACAGGAUCUUUAAAUUUUAGAUUUUUUUCCCAAUUUAUUUUCAAAGGUUGCGGUUAUUUUUUUCAUAUAACCAUUAAAAAUUGUUAGAUUACUCGACUUCCUUUUAUUUUUUGGUAUUUACGAGACAACCAACAGGAAAAUCAGACUCGAGUCCUACCCAACCAUUAAUAAACUUGUACCAAAUUUAGUGAACCUUAUUUCUAAUGCAAUUAUAUAAUGUACAUUUAGAAAUAAUAUUUUGGAUUUAUUUACAAAAAGUGGCACUUGAUCUGAUAUUGAAACUUUAGAGGUUACUUAUUGUUUCCUUUAUUUAUUUGUGUGUUUUUUAAUACGGUACCAACUUAGAAAACAUAGUCCAAAAAUAUUGAAAUCAUGUUUGGAAGGUGAAGAAAAUGUCAAAAAUAGUUUGUUAUUUCGUAUUCAAAACCUCAGAAAGUUACUUAAUUAUUAUUCAUUAGUGACCCUCUAGUAACCUAGAAAAAUGUUAUAUGGUGUUGCUCAUUGCCUAUAAACUGCAUUCCGACUACUUCAAAAUGAUAUACCUUAUUCUGAAAUGCAAAGAAUAUUCUAGAAUAUAUACAAAAUUCAGAACAAACUCUAGAAUGAUUUCCUAGCCAACAUCUCUUUUGAAGUUAACCAAAUUAGGUGGCUCGAUAUUUUGCAUGAUGGUUCAUUCAAAGCUUCUCUUACUACGUCGAGCAAACAUGUUAUGAUUGACGAUAUUCUUGGUAAUCUACAACAUGUGAGGCUUUUUUCCGACAAUCAUACUUCAGUAGGUAUGUGGUUGAAUAUUCAUGCCAACGUGGAACGGGGGCCUUUGCUAAGCAUUAUAUGAUUUGCAAAGAAGUGUUGGAUUAUGUGUUUAGGCUCAUAACUAUAAUUGGUAUAAACUAAAAUUGAUAGCAACAUAGUCCGUUUUAAUUGUCCUCAAACCUAGCAACUGGACAUGAUGAUUUUUGGAAGAGAGACGUUGAUUUAUUAUUUGAUUAAUAAAUCGAAAUAAAUAGUUUAUUAAUAUAUUAUGAGAAUAAUAUAUUAAUUACAAAUAGUAAUAUUUAAUUAAUAAUUAAUAAAAAAUUAAUUGGAAUUAAUGGAAUUAAUUAAAAGUAUAGGGGUUAAGUGUAAUUAUUCAAUAGUUGAGUAAAAGACAUUCUACAACUUCCCUAGGCCUUGGACGGUUUCUAGAGGGUUUUAGGAGAUUUAGAAUUAUCCUUGGAGGACAAUUAGAAAGCUAUAUAAUUAUCAAUUCAAUAUAAUAUUAUUAUAUUGGUUUUGGGCUUAUCUAGAGUUUUCAUGUUGCACUAUAUAAACCCCCUUGACAUUGUAAUUUUCGGCCAACCUUUUGGAAGAAGAGAUAGCUGAAAAUUGGAAGUAUCCUCCCUCCCCUCUCCAUAAUUUCCUUCUUGCUAGUAGACGCGACAAUUGUGGUGUUUGCUUCCAAGAGAUCAACAACAAAUGUAUGUGAUUCUAAAUCCUUCUAUAGGAAAUUUUGAAAAUACCUAAGACUAGUAUAUUCUUGUUGUUUAAUAGAAUGUUACAUCAAUAGUGUUAUGACAUAGAUCUUUAGGUUGUGUGUACCUUUAAGUGUUAAGGAUUUAUCUGCAUUAAUCAGAGGCUGGUUGUCUAACAAUUGAUUGUACAUUGUUUGAACUUGAACAAGGAAAUGAACAGAAUCGUCAUUCUAUUCCGACACUAUGACGCGGUAAUUGUUUGCCACGAAGUGGUGGUCAAUCAGAUUGCCAAAAUCGGAUUUUGCUUAAAAUUCAUGAAUUCAUUAGGAUAAUUACCUUAAAUAAUGUUUUAAUUAUGUAAAACUGAAUAAUUAUCUUAGUAAUUAGAUAUCUUUAUCUUGAAUUUAUGAAUUAUCCAUAAUAAUUAUAUUUUAGUUGGUUUACUUUAAAUUAAAUUAAUUCCUUUAAUUUUGAAAAGUCUAAUUUAAACCUUGUAUUUUCAAAAAGUUUUAAAAUACACGUUAUAUUAUAUGUAGAAUCAAAUGUCUAAUUAUUACUAUAUGUAUAAGAAUAAGUCAAUCAAAUCAAUAGUAGGCCUCAUUCACGAAACCAUGUUAUAAAGAGAGUAUAAGGAAACGGCUUAUAAAAUGGUCAUUGAAUAGGUGUCCACUCUCACCCACCGCUCUCCUAUGUGGUCGAGGUCGUUAGUCGAACGGGUUUGAUAGGACAAUUAAUUUUCAUUAAUAAGUAUAAUGAAUUAAAAGUAACUAAACCUUUUUAUUAAAAAUCUUAAUCUUAGUUACUUUAGGAAAAAUGUGAAUUUGUAUGCUAACCCAUGAAGUUGCACAUUACACUUUAUAAGUCGUUACUAGAGCGUGUGUGGUUAACUGCCACACUAAUAGGGACUAAUAAAGGCUGGUAAUGGGUAUCUCAUAAAUUAUCAUUGUUGGUGGAGCGUGUUAGGUUAACCGACAUAUAAACUGAGAUGAUAAAUGACAAUGAGGUUACCAAACACAUUUGCAUAGUUAUUCACAUCUUGUUUAUGAUUUUCGGUAUCCCAGUCAUAAAUAGAAGAGCAUAAUCUGAGAUUAAACAUGCAAUUGAAUAAUUUCAAUGAGUCUCAAAAGAUCUAGGAACUUCAUCAACACUUAAUUUCUCUUUAAAAAUUUGUUUUCUAUUGGUGGAACUGGUAAUCAUCAUUUAUCUACCUUAAUAAAGUUUACAAUUAAAUUACGACAUCCCUUUUCUAAGUUGAGAAUUUUAUAGUUGGAUCCUAACCUUAAUAUUUCAUUUUUGGGUUGUAAUAUUAAGGAUUAUUCUUAUCUCAGUAAAAACUACCUUUCUUUUACAGAUGUCUACUCCAAAUGAUGCUUUUGGUUCCUCUUCCUCCAAUCAAAACUUCUCGUUGCUAAACAUUUUCUCAAUGGUGACAUUGGAUGGCCCCAAUUAUAAUGACUUGGAUGCACAACAUCAAAAUGGAUCUUCGUUUCGAGAAAAUGGUGUAUGCACUUGAGAAAGAACUAACUGAGAUAGACGAAGAGAAGGCCACUCCUGAAGAAUUAAUUGAAUACAAGAAACACUACAAUGAUGCAACAAAAGUUGUUUGCAUCAUAGUAGCCACCAUGACUCCUAAAUUGCAAAAGUUCUAUGAGGAUUACUGGUCGAAUGAGAUGAAUAGGGACUGUCACAACUAGCAUUCUUAGCUAGAAAAUUAUGUCCUCAUGUAAACAUCAACUAUUUUAAGACUUGUACUAAUACGUUAAAGUUUACAUUAUGAUUCCUAAUGAACCAUGUAUUGUUAAAAUGUAAAUCUCUCUUAAAUCUCUUUAUGUAUCUCAAAUCUCUCCCAAAUCUCUCUUUGUAUCUCAAAUCUCUCCCAAGUCUCUCUUUGUAUCUUAAAUCUCUCCCAAAUCUCUCUCAAAUCUCUUUACAUAUCUCCCUUAGUCGAAACCAACUCAAAACGAAAGAAGAAAACUCGAAAGAACAAGCCUAUUCCGGAAUACACUAUUCAUGCUCGGAACCUCUCUUCCUAGUCCGGAACCCUCUUGGUCCGGAACACCUCCCACUUCGGAACCGUCUGAUUUGGCUUCAAAAUCCCUUCACUCGGACAAUCUCGCUCCGGACGCCUGCUGAUCCGGAACCGCUGACUUCGGAAAGCCUCGCAUCACUCCAAAAAAACCAGCCACCGAGCCAUCUCGCACCUGGACCCUUCGUAUCUCGGAAGAAGGAACUCCAAAAUCUCUUGACCUCUUCGGACCCUCACAAAUUCAAGACUCCACUUUGGAUUUUUAUCCAUUUCGGACCUUUUCUUCAUUUUAAGGUAUUUUGACGUCGAGAAUCCCACAAAACUCGUGUUUUUCAUAACUUAGACCCCUUAAACCCUUAUUUUAUGCCAAAUUUGAAUAUUUAAAACAUAUUUACAUAAAAGAAUAUUUAAGAUUUAUAAAGGUAUUAUUUUAAAUCAAGAUGAGAAUAAAGGGUUUGACUUUAUGAUUUGAUGUAAUUCCCAUUCUCCAUGCAAAUCACAGUAACCCAUAUAUUACCCACCAAAUAACAAUGCUUUGAACCUUCAGAUUUCCAUGUACAUAUUUCCCCCCUUUUUCUUUUAUCCCCUUGAAGCAACGACAUAAGAGAGCUCUAAACUCCACCAUUCUCUCACUUCUCUCAUAUUCUCUCCAAUACUCCUCUCAAGAGCAAGAACAAGGAUCUUGCUAAAGACUUAACUUCUCAAGUUCUCCUUAGAGUUCUUAAGUAAGUUUUUCCACUCAUCUAGCAUUUUAUAUACUUUUCAACAUAAAUUCACAUUAUUUCACCCAUAAUGAUAUGUGAGAAAGACUCUUAGGACAACAUUCCUUCCAAAGAAGUGCCUCAACUCACCCUUCAUGAAGAAGUUUUCAUGUCUCAACCACCGAGAUAUGUUCAUCCUCAAUAUCCUACUCACAUUUGCAAACUCAAAAAAUCUAUUUAUGGAUUAAAACAAGCUCCAAGAUCUUGGUAUAUUGAACUCACUACCUUUCUUCUCCAAUUCGGAUUCAAAAAAUCUCUAGCCGAUGCCUCAUUAUUCAUUUACAAACAUCAAAAUACUACCUAUUAUUUUAUGGUUUAUGUUAAUGACAUAGUGCUAACAGGAAACAACAACAACUUCCUCAACCAUUUUAUCACAGCCUUAAGCACAAAAUUUAUCUCAAAGACCUUGGUAUUCCUCAUCAUUUCUUAGGAGUUGAAGUAAUUCCCACACCUACAUGUCUCUUUCUUUCUCAACAUCGUCAUAUCCAAGAUAUUCUAAACCAAUUUUACAUGGAAGGUGCCAAAGAUGUUACAACACCUGUAAGUGCAACUGAACCGUUAUCCACCACUAAUCAGUCACCCACAGUUGAUGCAACUCCCUAUCGUAACCGUUAUCCAUCACUGAUCAGUCACCCAUAGAAGUGAUUUACCUUUUAUCUUAUUUGGUCCACGAAUCUAUAUUUCCCCCAAUUAACCGCACCUUCAAUAACAGAAUGCAAAAUAAUAAUAAUAAUAAUAAUAAUAAUAAUAAUAAUAAUAAUAAUAAUAAUAAUAAUAAUAAAUAAAAUAAAAUAAAAUAAAAAAAUAAUAAUUAUGAAUCCCUAAUUUAAAAGUGAAAAUCCCAAAUAUGUAUAGAGGCUUUGAAGAAAAAGAGUGAUGUGGUUUCUAGACCAUACCAUGAAAAGAAGAUACUUAAUCGAAGAAAAAAGCAAAGCAGUAAUUUUGAGAUGUAGAUAGAGGUAGCAAAUAGAGUGAACAGUCCGAUGAAAUCCUAAGAUUAAAAUUCGGAGCGUCGAUAGACUGUUGAGGAAAAUAAAAAAUCAUUAUAAAAGACAAAAUACAGUACAAAACACAAACAUAACCUAAUCGAAACAAACAACCAAAAAUAAAGCAGGAGUACUAACCAAAAUCGGACCCACAGCAGAUUGAAAGCACCAAGUUGGAGAGAGGGAAUGGAACGACAACCAACGUCGUCUUCCUAUAAAACAUUCGAUCGUGGCCUUCAAACAGAUGCAAAAACUGAAGAGAUACCGACGCAUCGAUGGUGAAUUGAAGCCACCGAUUUUUGAAAAAUUACUCAAAAUUGAAAGAUUAAAUGGAGAAGAUGACUUAGGCAAAGAAGACAUGUGUCAUCAAAAGAGAGAGAUGAAGAAGAUGACUCGGCUCCAAUGAAGCGGAAGGUGACCACAAAGGGACAAAAACAACUAUCAACCAUCACAAAACCAAAACAGAAAGCCACUUACAAAACAAGAAACAGUUGUUACUAUUCCUAAACACGAUGUAAUUUUUAAUAUGUAUAUUAAUGUAUAUUAAACCCAAUCCAACCCAACCCAACCCAUUUAACAAAAUUGGUUAGACACGAGUUGACCUAUUUACCUUAAACGAUUUGAAAGUCCCAACCUAACUCAUUAAUUUUGGGUUGGGUUCAAAAUAGAUUGACGGAUUGGACCGUUUCUUGCCUACUCUACUUCCACUUACUUUAUUCUAAGUCAUAGAAAAGUCCUUGCAUAUAAAAAAUUGUACUUUCCAAAAAUAAAAUCUUGAUGGCAAUCCAAUAAGUUUUUACACAACCUCCAAAUCAUACCUUAUUGUAUAUUGAGAAUAGCAUAGAAAACAUAUAAUAAUAUAUUUAUUUGUCUUUUGCUCCAACAACCACUAAAGUUUGCGUAGAAUCAAUUGAGCACCAUACUGAGGUUGUAGAGUGAGGAUAGUAUGUGGAGCAUGUGCGUACAAUGGAGAAAUCUCAAAGGAGAAACCUCUUAAAAUCAUAACGAGUGCUAAUUUUGCUUCCAGCAUAGCAAAGUUUUGGCCGAUACAUAUACGUGGACCCCCUCCGAAAGGGUAGUAUGAUGCUUGUUCCUUAGUUGCUUUUGACACACCUUCUGCAAAUCUCUCAGGUUUGAACUCUUUCACAUCAUCACCCCACAUUUCAUUGUCAUAAUGUAAAAGCAUCAUAUGCAAUUGGAGGAAUGAACCUGCCGGUAAGGUUAUGUUUCCUAAUGUAGUUUCUUCAUGAAUCAUCCGUCCCAAUCCUAUACCAGGCGGGUAUAACCUAAGUACCUCGUGCAAGAUCAUAUUAAUCUGCAAAAUAAAUAAUUACUAACUCUUUGUCAAGUACAAUAAUAAAAAAAAUGAGGAGGAAUGUGAUCAUGUUUUCGUUUACUUGUUGAAUUAAAAAAUAUUUUGAUUGGCCUAAGCACAUUUUUAAAUCUAGAUUUAGUUUGGUAUAAAAUACAUAACCUGAUUCAUUAUGCGUUUAUCUAAUUAAUUAACGGUUUGGUAAAUCCAAUCACUAGAAGAAGAAGAAGAAGAAAGACUUACAACUUUUAGACGACUUAAUCCGUCAAUAUCUGGUUUUCUGUCUCCAAACACUUUUAAAACUUCAUCUCUAGCACGAUCUUGCCAAUUUGUGUGUUGGGCUAACAAAAUCAUUGUCCAAACAAGCAAAUUUGCAGUAGUUUCUUGCCCGGCAAAAUAGAAAAGUUUGCAUUCUUGAAUGACUUCUUCGGUGGUGAGUCCGAAAUUGGUGUUCCCUUGUUGUCUGAUUUCUUUGUAAUUGGAAUCCAAUAAUAUUCCCAAUAAAUCGUCGCUGUUACUUUCCCCGGCUUUCAUUGUUGUCACUCGUUUAUUAAUAAUUUUGUUUAUUGUAGCCCUCACAUCUCGGUCAAUCUCCUUCAUCCUUCUAUUACUCUUUGUAGGCAAAAAUCUACAAAAUCAUAAUUGAAUAAGCAAACAGUUUUGCAUGAUUUCUUUUUGGAAUGUUAAGAGGCUAAAAACCAAAAAUUGUUAAAGGAAAAGCUUGCUCACCGGGAACCUGGAAUAUACAAGGAUUGUAUAGCCUUGAUAACUAACUCUGCUUGUUCUUUUUGAAGCUCAAAUAUCUUUCUUCCUUCCUGAUAGCUGCUACCAAAUGCUGUACGUGAUAUUACAUCACUAGUAAAGGUUUCGAGAUGAGGGUACACAUCAACUUCACAGGAUCUUUCUUUGGUUAAUUCUUCCCAUUUGUUGAUCAUCUCACUACAACUAAUGUAAAAAGCAGGUAACAUACUCUGCAAAAAGGAACGCUAAUGGAAUCAGUGGUUGAUUAAUUUUAAUCACAUAUUGCCACUUUUGGUCUGGUAAUUUAAAAAGCAGAUGAACCUUAAGCUUUUCCACAUGGAAUGCGGGAUUGAUAAUCUUUCUAUGUUUUGCCCAUUGAUCAUCCUCAGCAUCUACUAUCCCUCUAGCUAGCAACUUUAUUAAUGGAUUUCCUCCUUUCAGCUUUUGAAACUGAGAAUAAUUGUUUAGAACCUCUCGUAUUAGUGCAGGUUCUGUUAUGUGGAUCAUAGGUCGUGGGCCCAUCCAUGUAAAGAAAUUCUUUCCUUUACCUGUACACAAAUAUAGAUUGUUUAAAAGAUCAGAUUACACCUUUUUGCACAUAAUAUAGAUCGUAGCCUUUAUAUUCAAGAUCUUACUGUUUGACUUUGACUCUUUGAGGUCAAACUGACUACCUGUACAUUUGGGUCUAUAUAUAUGAUGCUUUGCAUAUAAUAUGUUUCUGCUAAACUCAUAUGGACAAUUUAAAUGCAAGGUACUUUAGUUUUUGAAAUAGCAUCAGCAUAUAAAAUUUGUCUAUUUCAGUUGGAAAGACAUGCUAACAGAUUUCAUUCCGUCAAGAUCUACUAUUUACCAAAAAAGAAAAAGUUACUUUCAGUUAAAAACUUUUCUAAAAAUUUCCUUCGAAAAACUCAAAAAAUAAGAUCUAUUAUCAAUGCUGAUACGUAUACAUUACAUACCAUAAGUCUUAGCAGAGUUAUAAAGAAAUGGCAUGAUACGUGGGACGAUAUCAUCGGUGAUAUUUAUGGGUUUCAAUUUGGCAUCCGCAGUCAUCUGCACCAUCUCUUUCAUGUCUCCAUAUAGAAAUUUGUAUGGAUUUCCGUUUAAGCCUUGUUCUCUGAGAAACUUGUCCAUCUUCUUCGGUUUCAACCAGACCCAGUUGAAAAAUCUCCAUCCGUAUAUCAUCACUAUCACUCCAACAACACAUACCACUGUGUUCAUCAUACUAAAACUUAGCUCCAUUUCUAGAGGAUAUUGAUCGAGGUAGGGUGCUUUUCUUUUCCUUAAGUAUGAAGAUACACACUGUGUUUAUAGGUUCAAGUUCUAAUACUAAGUAGUAGCAGGUGAGUAAAAGAGAAAUUGUAAUUGAUUUUGACUUUUGGGUUGUUGGUGACGAAUGAAGGGAUUUCAUUUAUCGAUGGAUAAUGUUCAAUCAUGUCCCUUGUGUUCUAGUUAUUAUGAUUAUGGUCCAUAUGUUAUGUAUUAUUGACUUACGUUUUUACAAUUACAUCACUCAUUUUUAGCUUGAUCAAUUUAUAUAUU